rnacentral:lncRNA from 1 species
GCCCGCGCUACCGCCGCCGCCCCCGCCAUGGGCGCCCCCGUGCCCGGGCCUCCGUCAUUCCCGGCCGGCCGGCACGGGCCGCCCGGCCAGCUAGGCCCGGUGUGUCAGCAAUGGGUUUUGUUGAGAAAAAGCAACAUUAAUAGUAAAAGCAACAUUAAUAGUAAAAGCUGCAUCAUCAGUGUUGUUUCUCAUCAAGGCACAGCAAAACAGACCAAGGUUCAGUUUCUGAAAGCUAUCUGACAGUAUCAUCCUGCUGGAUUUUUGCAUGCAUAAAGAAAGCUUGAGAGAGUGCCAGUUGGUACCGCUUGUCAUCAGAAUUUUUCCAGAUCACACUGUUGCUUCUGAAAG